rnacentral:rRNA from 1 species
UACGGAGGGUGCGAGCGUUAAUCGGAAUGACUGGGCGUAAAGGGCAUGUAGGCGGAUAAUUAAGUUAGGUGUGAAAGCCCUGGGCUCAACCUAGGAAUUGCACUUAAAACUGGUUAACUAGAGUAUUGUAGAGGAAGGUAGAAUUCCACGUGUAGCGGUGAAAUGCGUAGAGAUGUGGAGGAAUACCGGUGGCGAAGGCGGCCUUCUGGACAGAUACUGACGCUGAGAUGCGAAAGCGUGGGGAG